GAGAGAUUGAAGCAGGAAUUUUUUAUGUUUUCUCUGAUGUUUUAGAAUCCAUAAGAUCUGAUUUUUGAUAUACAACGCCAUUCAAAAGAUUGGGGUCAUUCAUUUUUUAAUGCAUAUAAUUGAUCAAGUGACAGUAAAGACUUUUACAUUGAUAUAAAAGAUUUCGUUUUAAAUAAAUAUGAAUGUAUUAAGUAUUAAUUAUAUUAUAAGUAAUAAUAUUAAGCAUUCUAUUAAAUUUAAAAUAACGAUAAUAAUAUAAUAAUAAUUCAUCAAAGAAUCCAGGGGGAAAAUGUGUUAUGAAACACACCUGUAUUCAACAUUGAUUAUAAUAAGAAAUGUUAAUAUUUCUUAUUUCCUUAAUUUCUCAUAAGAAAUAUUUAUCAAUUAAUGCAGUCUUGUAGAGCAUAAGAGACUGCUUUCAAAAAUGUCAUAAAAAAAAUCUUACUGACCCCAAACAGAUCUGAUGAAUAGUUGUGUAUUAAAAAAUAAAU